GACGAACGCUGGCGGCGUGCUUAACACAUGCAAGUCGAACGGAAAGGCCCUGCUUGCAGGGUGCUCGAGUGGCGAACGGGUGAGUAACACGUGGGUGAUCUGCCCCUUACUUUGGGAUAAGCCUGGGAAACUGGGUCUAAUACUGGAUAGGACCAUGCUGUAGGUGGUGUGGUGGAAAGAUUAGUUUCGGUAAGGGAUGAGCUCGCGGCCUAUCAGCUUGUUGGUGGGGUAAUGGCCUACCAAGGCGUCGACGGGUAGCCGGCCUGAGAGGGUGGACGGCCACAUUGGGACUGAGAUACGGCCCAGACUCCUACGGGAGGCCGCAGUGGGGAAUAUUGCACAAUGGGCGCAAGCCUGAUGCAGCGACGCCGCGUGGGGGAUGACGGCCUUCGGGUUGUAAACUCCUUUCAGCCAUGACGAAGCCCUUGUGGUGACGGUAGUGGUAGAAGAAGCACCGGCUAACUACGUG
rnacentral:rRNA from 1 species